rnacentral:lncRNA from 1 species
UAGUGAUGUUAUUUAUAGGAGAAAUUAGGGAGUUGGAAAUCUUGUGACCUCCAGAAUAACAGAUGGUGUAAUCAUUUAACUACUAUUUGUUGCAGAAUUCAAGCCUCCCUCCCCCUCCUAACCUGGUGGUCUUUAAUUAGUUUUACAAAGGCAGUUUAGUUUUUGCAAAGAGCUAUUAUUUAAACUACAAACUAAAUUUAUCCAAAAGUUAGCUUGGCCCAUGCCCAGGAAUGGCCAAGGACAGUUUGGAGGUUAAAGGCAAAAUGGAGUUGGUUAAAGCAGAUCUCUUUCACUGUUAAAAUUUUUGCAAAGUUUAUUUCAGGAGGCUCACCUCAGGUGUCCAGGGUUUUUAUUGGGAUGGAUACUUAAGGAUGAUCAAUAGGCCAGAUUACUGACUUUAGUCUCCAGCUCUUUAAGAGGUCAGGUUGAUACCAUGUGAACCAAAGUCACUGCCAUAAAUCAUGUUGUUAGCCUAGACUAUCUAGUGUGGCUCACAGCCCCCAUGUAAACACAUACUGGCCUAUCAGGCAGGAUAUUUCAAGGAUUAGAGGUUACUUCCUAGAAGUUUGUCAAGAGCCAAAUAUUCCUGGUCAAGGUUAAUCCUUUACUGCAUACUGGUAUAUGUCCUAUUAACCUAGAUUUCUUUGUAUGUGUAUAUACAUACUGAUGCAGGAUUUUUGCUCCUUAGUUCAGCUAAAUCCAGGUUCUUGUCUCACAAUGAGGAAAAAUUAGGCACAUGGACACAUUGAAGGGUGAGGAGGGUGGAAUUUAUUAAGCAAAAGAAAAGCUCUCAGCAAAGAGAGGGGUUCUUCAAGCAGGUUUCCUUGUCACAGUUGAAUACCAGGGCUACCACAUACAAGCUUAAGGGGCCAGCCUCCUCCCCUGCAUAAAGCAUGAAUUCCUGGUUGCUCCACCCCAUUCCCCUAGUGCCUGUGGGCCUCCAGUCUGCUGUGGGCAUGCCCAGGCAAGUCCCCUGUGCAGGUUCCCUUAUCUGCACAAAACAUCUGGUAUAAACACUUGUGGGGAGGGUCAGAGAUUCUCUGGGGACCCUUCCCUAUCUGCCUAGACCUUUGUCUGCCUCCUGCCUCUUAUCAAUAUGUUUCCUAUCAUAUUUAUAUUGCAUUCUAUUUACUUAGUCUUUCUGUGUCUAGAAAUGCUCAACAGAAUUUUUUAAAAUAAUUGUUGAAUAGGAUUCUAUCAUAUAAAUGUGAUAUGGUUUAGCUCUGUCCCCACCCAAAUCUCAUCUUUAAUUGUAGUUCCCAUAAUUCUCACAUGUUGUGGGAGGGGCCCAGUGGGAGAUACUUGAAUCAUGGGAGCAGUUUCCCCCAUACUGUUUUUGUGGUAGUGAAUAAGUUUCAUGAGAUCUGAUGGUUUUAUAAGGGGAAACCCCUUUUGCUUGGUUCUCAUUUUCUUGUCUGCCACCAUGAAAGAUGUGCCUUUUGCCUUUGCCGUGAUUGUGAGGCCUCCCCAGCCAUGUGGAACUGUAAGUCCAUUAAACCUUUUUUUCUUUAUAAAUUA